CUGCAAAUAUCAAGAGGCUUUUACAGGAUCCUCUCACUUUUGCAUCCAGGUUUUUUGAAAAUCCCAAGAUGAGCUUCCAUUGGCUACUUCAAUCAAGCCCCCACUCCUGAACCAGUUAUUGAAGCUGGAGUGGAAGAACACAAAGGAGCCAACUUUGGAUCACAUGCCUUCUGCCUCUAAAGGACAGGACAAACCCGGAGAGUAAAGACUAAGAAUGUGAACAAGAGUGAUUUUCCAAAGAAAAUGAGGGCAAUUUUUCUGAUGUAAAUAAACAAAAGUGAAAUGGAAGUUGGGAUGUGAAAGCAGCAGGUACUCCUUGAAAGAAUUGGAAAUGGAUAUGGCCAGUUUAAAAGGGCUGCACAACAUUGGCAUAGAUGUAAACUCACAUAGAUGUAAUUGUUUUCCUGUGAAAUGAUGUUGUUUGCAAAAAUGCUGUUGUGAUGAACACAAGGGUAGACUCAUCAAGAAGAGGAUUGAAAGAAAAGUUGAGGCUUGGAGUACUGAAAUGUUUGCCAGGGGGUUGGUGAGAAAAGUGAAGAAUCUGGGAAAAGUUAACUAAAGCUGUCCAGAAGGAGAAUGAUGGAUCUGGUGAAAUGGGGUCUUCUGGCAUCAGAAUGGCAAAUUCUACUGUCAUCUCAGAGAAUUCGUCAUCCUUCAGGAAACCUGGAUGAAAUAUGCUUUUAGACUGUGCAAACCUUUUAAUUCUGGUUUCUGAAAAAUAUCUCACAUUGAGCGAUUAUUCAGAGCUCUGUUCUUUGAUCAUUCGUUUCUCACAACAUAUGAGUUAGGUUCAAAGUCAUUCUUACAGAUGAUUUUUGCAGAUAAACCCAUGGAGGAACAAAGCUCAUGUCCAUUAUCUCUUUCCUAUUUUAUUCCUACUAUGCUCUAAGUGUUCACAAAGUAUAUGACAGACCACUUAACUCCCUAUGCACAGUGACGCUAGGAAGUAGGUUCGCAGACAUCACUGUUCUAGUUACCAAAAGCUACCUUGCUGCUUUCACAUCCCAACUUCCAUUUCAUUUUUGUUUAUUUAUAUCAAACUAAUAAUUGAAAAUGUAAUCAAUAUGUCAAUGUCUUAUGAAUAUCCAAGACUCCCAUCAACUCUGGUCAUGCAAAAAUAAAGAAUUUAAAGUAGAAGACUCUAAAAAAAAAUGAAGAUUCUGAAAAGCACUGCAAAUAUAAAAUUGUGGACUGUAGAGGAAAGAAAAUCGUAUCCUUUCUUCACUCAUCACAAGAUUCAUAGCUGAUUGUCACAAGGGUGCUGUAUUAUUAACAUAUACAACAACAACACAUUUGUGUCAUAUAUAUAUAUAUAUAUAUGCAGAAAGGCUAAUAAAGGGUUAAGACAGGCAAAGGAUUCAGAACUGAGCACAAAGGCAGAAAGCAUAAGGAUGUAGAGAGUCACUGUAGGUGGUCAGAUAAGAUCAGAAACCAGGGAAGAACUUGUUCAAGGUGCAGAGCUGUCAAAGUAUGGAAACUUAUUCUAGGCCAAUGUCCAGAUGGAUGACAGUUUCACAGUGUCAGCUUGAGAUAUUAGCUUGGAGUGGGUCUUUCAUGGUUGUCACAGACAGAAGAAACUGCACUCUCUAAAGCCUGAGGACGGAGAUUAAGAGAUUCAUUGCCAUGGUGAUUUUUUCCUGGACAAGGCUCCCAGAGGAGUGAUGAGGUCUGCCCAGCCAGACUGCGGCAACACAAGAGCCUUCAAAAAAUGAAGACUAAAGGCCUAUGGAAAGCUGUGUUUUUAUGGACUGUCAUACCUCCAGGGAGUGAAGGACAAAUGGGAAUAUGAUCUAAUGAUGAUAAACCUGGGAUCUCAGCAAGGACUCUUUGUCCAAAUUCUUCUUGGCCAGUGAGUAAAGGGCAGCACCCUCUGGAGGGAGGGUCAAGAGAUCUUUCAUAGGAGGUAUGUUAGAGAAUUCACUUAGGGCCUGCUUCCAGGUGGAAAGGCAGGAGAAGGGCAGAGAGUAACCUUCCUGCUUCAGUCUUCUCCUCAGCUUGCUUCAGCUUAAAAUGUGUGUGCAAAUGCCAUAUUUUGAAGCAUUGUGUUUUGAGGCCUAAGAAGACCAAAUCUUGAAUCCUGGAGACUCAUCAGUCCCUACCAGACUAGCCACCCUCUCCCUUUAUCUUUAUGGCCUCUCCAUCUUAUCUUUCUGACAAUUCUAUAUAGUUGUUUUGGAAGAAACUGCCCUGGGAUAAAUAAGAAAGCGCCCAUCAUCUUAAUGUGACAGGUAGAAAGUAGCUCAGGACCAGAACAAUAAUCAUUUAAUUGUUCUUGAUUGCUUGGGAGAUACCACUGAGCCUCAAAGCAAUGCCUAAGGGAAGAUGUGAUAAAAAACAUUGGCAUGGGGGUGUGCAUUACCUGAUUUCAAUUCCCAAAUCUAGUUGGAGACACAAUAUUCUGACAAAAAAAAAAAAA